AUACGGAGGGUGCAAGCGUUACUCGGAAUCACUGGGCGUAAAGCGCGCGCAGGCGGCUUGAUAAGUUGGAUGUGAAAGCCUACGGCUCAACCGUAGAACUGCAUCCAAAACUGUCAAGCUAGAGCCUGGGAGGGGAAGAUGGAAUUAGUUGUGUAGGGGUAAAAUCCGUAGAGAUAACUAGGAAUACCAAAAGCGAAGGCGACCUUCUGGAACAGUACUGACGCUGAGGCGCGAAAGCGUGGGGAGCAAACAGGAUUAGAAACCCCGGUAGUCC
rnacentral:rRNA from 1 species